CGACAGAACCCGUAGUGGUAGAAGUCGAUGCGCUUUAGCCCGCGUUCGCGCGCGAGGGCUACCUUCGCAACGAGGUUGUCGGCGGAUCGACAGUCGGGAGGCAUGGGGCGAAGCAUCAGGCCAAGCCGGGAGGUGUCCGCGAGCAGAGGCUGGUAAGCGUCGAGAUCGAAACUGAGCCGAUCUGGGUCGGACGCGUAUCCGGUCGCCUCUACCGUUUCGC
rnacentral:misc_RNA from 1 species